AAAUAAGGAAGGUAUUUACUUGUGAUUAUAGAUUCAUUUUCAGGGUAGGUUGAAGCCUUCCCCACAAGGACAACAGUGCUUGAACGGCUGCCAAGGAGCUGUUUUUAGAAGUGGUAUGCAGAUAUGAAACUCCCGAGGUCAUCGACUCUGAUAAUGGAGGGACAUAUGUAGGGGAGUUGUGCUCUGGGAAUUACUCUCAAAUUCCACAUACCCUACAGGCCUCAAUCUUCUGGCUAAGUGGAAAGAAUGAACCGCACUAUCAAAGAAGCACUGAGAAAGGUCGUAGAUAACACUGGCAGAAAUUGGCCUGAGAAGCUGCCACUUAUUCUGGCUGCCAUUCAUAGCAGUGAUAGGCUGAGGACUAAAAUCCAGCUGUAUCAAAAUCUCUUUGGGCAAGGUAUGAAAUUGGUUAUCGACCCAGAGCAAACUGUGGAAUUGACAGGGGACAACCUAACUGGGACUCAUGAGCACUGGCAGUGGCUGAAGCAGCUGCAGGAAGAUAAAAGCACCCUACAGUACAGGGUGAAUUGAGCUAAUGAACAAAAGAAUGGAUCAGCAAAGAGCUGGGGACUCUCAACUGUGGGAAGCAGGAGAUCAGGCACAAUGCCCCGGUGCUGACUGGAUACCAGGACCUGUGGACGUGGUGUGUUUUUAUUAUCAUUCUCACAGGAUUCCUGAACACCGGAUUGUGCUGCUGCUACUCCCCCUGCUGAGGGUGUGCAUUCUCCAGCCGGUCCAGAUUGCACAUUCGGUUCGUCAGGAGAGCUGUGAGAAACGACAUUGGAGAAGAGCCAAGUGACAUUCCAGUCAGCAUGAGGAAUGAAGCCACAGGUGGUUUGGUGGUCCUUGAGUUGGAUGAAUUUACUCGCGUCCGCAGUCGCAGCAGAGGAGGCCCACUAGCAGUGCUACGACGACACCCGUGUCCCAGGACCCCUGGGAGAAGGUUGAACGAUCCUAGCUGUUACACUGUUAGGAAAUGGCUCAGGAUCAGAAAACACCCCAUGGAUUCCCUUCCAUGAUCCGGACAUCCAGAUACGGUGGCUUGAUCUGAAUACCAGCAUUACUUUAAAACCCCUAGGAAGCACUCAUGUUUAUGUGGGGGAGGGAGAAUUGGUAUUACAGGUAAACAUCUCAGUCCCCACGGGGAGGGAAAGUAAUUGGAUGGUGGGGAUACAAACUGAAGGCUAUUUUGGAGACAGCACCACAAUUGCAUACUAGCCCUUACUCCCCUAGAUUUGGGAUGGGUUUGUAAAGUCAGGAACCUUGGUAACAGUUAUUGUCGUAUACUGCCCACACACACACAGAGGCAUUCCCAGAUGAUUGUGCAUGGAAGUGGGAAAAAGAGUA